CCAUUGAAUAUCUUAUAGGUACAAUAUUUAGUUUGAAGUAGAAUAAAAGAACAUUCCAAAUGAAUUGACAAACUAGGCCAUAAAAUUUUCAAAUGUGAUAUGAAAGUAUGCAUAGUAGCCUUGAAAAACUUAGGGACAAAUGAAUAGUUCUACCAUAUCAUUUACUAAUUGAAGAAAUCCCUAAAGGAGAGGGAAAAGUACUCAAAAAGCUAUAAUCCAUGUGAAAUAUUGGAACUCAAAAAUACAAAUAUAUCCUAGUUGCAUUUAAUCUAAACCCAAAUACUUCAGGAACCUUUUUUUUUUUUUUUUUUUUUUGCAACUUUAAUCUCUAUAAUCCACUUAAUUCACAAACUUUAAAGAAAAAAAAAAUAGAGUUUUACCAUAACGAUCAUAUCUUAGGAGCACACUUGGCUAGAUAUAGAGUUAAAGGUUGAGUGUUAAUGGAAAACAGGUUAAAAAAAAUAAUUUUUGUAGAAAAACAAGUAAUGAUUAUGAAUGCUCUAGAUAAUUUAGGUGUUUGAGCUUUUAACUUUUAGCUUAUAUAUUCCAUGACUUGAUUUCAAAAUUUUAGGUUUAGAGUUUGUAUAUUUAUGUAUUGCUAAAAGCAAGAUUGUUGUGUAGUUAUCAUGUUUGUUAAAAUAUUUUGGUCCAAAUUCACCUCAUAAAUCUCUCCCUUUCUCAUUAUAACCCUUGCACAUUCAUCCCUUCCUCAUUAUGAAUGUCAUCCCGAAGGUCAUUCAUUUCUAUCUUAGGUUUAAUGCCACAAAAUCAAAUUUCUUGGUCUUAUGGCUUAAUAAAGCAUCAUCAACCAUGAAAUAUGAGCAAUAAUUUCCUUCUUGCUUCUUUGGAAACUAGAAAGAAUGGGAUAUACUUAAUAUGUCUCACAAAAAUUGGGAAACAUGUUAAUUAGCUAAAAAUAUCACCUUAAUAUGGCCCAACAAUAUAUUUGGUGGUAGAUAGUAAAAAAAAAAAAAAAAAAAAAAAAAACUACCAACUUUCAUGCCUAUAGUAGUAGCCAAGUGAAAAUAAAAUUUAUAUAAGUGUACCUAGAAUGCCAAGAAAAAACAGUGACUAGACUAUGAUUUGUAAAGUAUGAGACAAUGACAUACACUCUCCAUUCUAGGAAAAUAUACUCCAUUAUAGCAUGUAUUUCAUACUACAUGUGCUAAUUAAUAAAAAGUAAAAGUAAGAAAAUUAUGAAUCCUUUUCGCAUUGUCUCACUCUUAAAAAUAUUUUUGUUUGAUGAUGAUUAAGUUUAUGCUUUAAUCAAAUAUGGCUACACCAUCAAAAAAAGAAAUAAUGUUAAGCUACUUUCAAACAUUGCCAAGGUCAUGAAUGAUUCUACUUUAAUGGACAUUGUUAGCAAAUCUGCUAGUUAUGAUCUAAAUGAUAUAAUCUGUCUGAUUUUAGGUGGCCAGAGCCGAUCAAUACAUAUCCGGUUAAACGGGAUCAAAGUAGAAGGUGCCUCUAUCAUAAAGAUCAUGGUCAUACCACCGAACAAUGUAGAAGUCUCCACUACUUAGUGGAAAGACUAAUCAGGGUUGGAUACCUGAAACAAUAUGUCUGCACAACUGGCAAAUAAAGAGAGACGGCCCGAGAUCUAGCCAUCCAAGCCCCUACGACUUUAGCAGCUCCUAGAGUUAUCAUCAAAUACAUUCACGAAGGCCCCGCUGUUUAGAGAUAUUACUCUAAAUGGAAAAGGCAAAGGUUGCUGGGCGCGACCUCCGUAAGAGAAGGGAUCAGCUCUGUUCAGCAUAACUUUCCAAAAGGAAGUAUACGCCCCGUUGAUGGCACAAGUACCUUCCCUCCAAUAAAUGCUAACAGGGUAUUGCAACCACACAAAGACACCCUAGUCCUAAUCCUAGGAAUAAGUGGGUUCAAUGUGAGAAAGGUUCUGAUUAAUCCGGGUAGCUCAGCUGACCUCUUAUAAAUGUCAACCUACAAGCAAGGCAGUUGUUAUCCGAGUUCAAUGGAGCUAUGAUGACUUCUCAACGCAAUGUUGUAUUACCCAUCCAAGCUGGCCCGAUCACCUUGAACGUGCAAUUCUCAGUGGUAGAGGAUUUAUCCCCUUUCAAGGCCAUCAUGGGACGCACAUGGCUUUAUAGAAUGAAAGUCAUUUCCUCUACAUAGCAUCAGAUGGUGAGCUACCUCGUCGAGGAUAAACAAAUCGACCAUCUUGGCUGUUAGCUAGCCACGCUCCAAUGCUAUCAAGUGACACUAGAUUCCAGACAUCCAGCCAGCAACGAGGCAUGCCCAAAACCAUCAAAUGCAAAGGAGUAAUAACAAUUACUGAACUCGGUGGAGAAGGAUCCACCUGCGUCCAAUCUACUCCAACCAUUGUGCCUCUCACAUGACACAAAUCGAGUUACCUAUGUGAUAACCCGACUCUUGGUAGCUUGGCAUGUAAGGGUAUCAACAAAAUUUAUACCUAAGGUCCUUACACUAAAGUAGCAAAGCUACUAUAGCAUAGUGGCUCUAGGAUCGAACACUGGGAAGGGUUUUUACUUUAACUGGUGAGGUUCGGAGGAUGGAGUGAACUUUUCUUAAUAAAAAUUAGGUUAAGAUGAUAACAUAAAAAGAUGAAGGUGCUGUAAACUAAACUAACAUGAAAAUAGGUUAAAAGAUGGAAAAAGAAGUUUCUCAAAGCUUUGGAUAGCCAUGCUUAACUCACUGUGUAAAAAUGGAGAUUUUGGGACUCUUCACCUCGAGUUGGGGAAGCAACUAAGGUGAUGCUUACUUCUCGAACCGGUAUGAGUUUAACAACUGAGUUUUAGUCCUUAAAAACUUACAAAAAGGGUAGCUGAACCUCAUAAAUGCUCUUUUAUUGGUAUAGGUCAUCUCCUCGACUUGCAAUACAAUGGCUUGUAGGAGAUAACUAAUGAACGUCAGUGGAUCUAACAAUAAGAAUCCACUGAGACCAAAAGGUUAUCAAGUAUUGGCCAUUCAAAGCAAGUCAGAGGGAUUAAAAGCUUUACUUUGAAUGAAAACAUUUAUGACGGUCAGCUACUUACAUUUAUGGCUUGGAAAUCUCCAUCCUGACACGGGAGCUUCACAUGGCAUCCAUUACUUCAAGAAACUAAAAGGUUUUAGCCUCUCAUCCUUGGGGAUUUCAUCCUCCAAGGAUGUUUGGCUACUAAGAAAAUGAGAAAGAAAAGAGAAAAGAAGCGUAUGAACAAAAGUGCUCUUAUAACUUAUAAAGUUACAGGUUACAAGAUAUUUGUUUGAGGCUCUUCACCUCUAUUUAAAGAUAAUGACAAGCUAAAUUACAAGAGCUAUUACAAAAGCAACCUAUUCAUUGGUUGAUUACAAGGGUAAAAUAGGUAUUUACAAAGCUAAAAAUCAAGCAAAAUAUCUUGGAGAACCGGCAGUGGAAUAUCAUCAACAGCGUCUCAAAACAGGGGAUUUCAAAGGCAUUUUCGCAAAGGGGAAAGAUGAAGGGUCCAAAUUUCGCAAGGUGAAAAGCCACCUUGCGAAAUUUCGCAAGGUGGGUCUUCAUGGUGCGAAAUGGCCAAAUUUCGCACCAUGAAGAAAAUCUCCUUGCGAAAUGGUGUUCCCAUGGCUUGAUGCAGUUCUCUUCCGAAGGCCAUAUCUUCCUCAUUUCAGCUCCAAAUUGUACACGGUUUGAAGCGUUGGAUUCUUGACUUCCUGAGCUUUGAAAUGGUUAGUAUGUAGAAAAUUGACUUCGGGAAGUGCUCUAAAAGUGUGAAAGAAGACUGCAGCUGCUGUCCUCUGUUUUCUUCACUUUGCUUGCUUUUCCUCUUUGCUUCUCUUUGCUUCUCUCCUUUGCUUGGCUUGUCUUAAUGAUCCAAAAAGCUGUCAAAACACUAAAACUAGCCACAAAUAUGAUUAGAAGUCAUUGCUAAGUCCUUAACAUGCCAAUUGGGAUAAAGAUGGAGAACUACUACACAAAAGUGCUUAAAACAUAAUGAAUUAAAGGCGCAAAAUGACACUUUUUGGGUAGUAAUCACUAUGCUACCUCCCUUCUCACACCAGAUGAAUUGGAAUUGCUCUGAAGGAUGCUUCAAUGACACAAAGACAUCUUCGCUUGGACUUAUUCUGACAUGUUAGGAAUCCAUCCAUUUAUGGCCUCUCACAUGCUCAACAUCAUACCCUCCUCGCGUCUCGUCCGAUAGAAGGUUCAACACUUCCAUCCGGAUAGGCAGAUGAUCAUCUAGGAUGAGAUUGACAAGUUGCUAGUAGUCAGAUUUCUUAGGGAAGUCAAGCAUCCAGAUUGGUUGGCAAACGUUGUGGUCGUUCCAAAGAAGGAUGGGAAAUGGUGAGUUUGCGUCGACUACACCAACCUGAAUGACUUCUGUCCGGAGGAUAGUUUUCCCUUACCUCGAAUAGAUUAGAUAGUUGAUGCCACUAUCGGGUAUAUAAUGCUCUCUUUCAUAGAUUCUUUCUCGGAUACCACUAGAUCCCCAUGUUCCAACCAGAUGAAGAAAAGACAACCUUUGUGACACCACACGGGCUGUACUGCUACAAUGUCAUGCCGUUCAAGCUCAAGAAUGCUGACGCUACUUAUUAGAGAUUAAUAACAAAGAUCUUCAAGCCCUUGAUCGGCUAAACUGUGGAAGUCUACAUCGAUGACAUUGUUGUGAAGAGUAGAACCCGAGGUGAACACGCUUAGAGCCUAGAAGAAACAUUCAGCUUGAUGCGGGCAUACAACAUGAAGUUCAACCUAGCUUAGUGCGCUUUUGGCGUCAAUGCGAGAAAGUUUCUAGGAUUUAUGGUGACUCAAAGAGGAAUUGAAGUUCAUCCGGAUCAUACAAGAGUCGUCCUUGAAACACUUGCCCCGAGUAGUAAAAAAGAGUUGUAGUGCCUCACGUGUCGUCUGGCCGCUUUGGGGUGCUUCAUAGCCCGUUUCACAAACAAGCUAAGGCAUUUCUUCCUCACGCUCAGGGAGGCAAGCACAUUUGGUUGGACGGAUGAAUGAAGGUAGACGUUUGAGGAAGUCAAGCACUACCUCACUAAGUCACUCAUUCUGAACAACCCUUAGUCUGGCGAACAACUUUACAUGUAUUUGGUCAUAUCGGACUAUGCAGUCAAUGUUGUUCAAUUUUGGCACAUAUGAGACAAAGAGCAAAAACCUAUCUACUAUGUGAGCAAAGCAAUGGUAGACGCAGAGACCCAGUACUUCAGAAUGGAGCAGAUGACCCUAGCCUUGACAAGCACCUCCCAGAAACUCCGCCCGUACUUCUAGGCUCACCAAGUGACUAUACUUACUAAUCAACCACUUUGAAGCACCUUGCACAAACCAGAUUUGUCUGGACGAAUGUUGAAAUGGGUUAUUAAGUUGAGUGAAUAUGGAAUCGAAUACCAACCAAGAUUAGCAUUGAAAGGGCAAGUCAUGGCUGACUUUAUAGUCGAACUCUCCCAAAAAUUGGCACAUUCAGUUGAGUCCCCUGUGGAGGAAUGGUCAGGUUAAUUUACCUACUAAAAUAUCGCCCGCAUGAAAAAAAAAAAGGCUCGAAUGGGACACUUUAUGUGGACAGAGUGUCUAGAGCUUCCGGUUCCGGAGUAGGUUUGAUCCUAUAGUCACCAACCAAAGAACUAUUAGAGUAGGUAUCCAACUCAACUUUUUUACCUCUAACAAUGAAGCAGAGUAUGAGCUGUCCUAGUUGGGUUAGACCUUGCCCUUAAUUUGGUUGCAACAAAGUUAGAAAUACGUAGCGACUCUCAACUAAUCAUCAGGCAAAUUCAGAAAGAAUACGAAGCAAAUGAUGAACACAUGGCUAGCUAUCUCACAAUGGUUAAAGACUGCUUGAAAGGCUAGAUGAAUGGAAGAUCAGACGAAUACUUCGGAUGAAGAAUUUGAAGGUUGACGCAUUGGCCGAAAUAGCUUCCACUCUUCCUAUAAGAGAGGCAGUAAUGUUGUUCGUCUACCUCCAAGCCACAUCCUCAAUCACACCAAAUCCAGUAUGUAGUACCAUUGAGAUGGACCCCGGUUGGAUGCAUGACAUUGUGAAAUACCUCUAGAUGGGAGAACUACCAGAAGAUGAGAAGCAUGCACACAAAGUUUGUAUACAGGUCGUCCGCUUCACUCUAAUCAAUGACCGUCUUUAUAGAUGGUCAUUUGGGGGACCAUACCUAAGAUGCUUGAGUGAUUACUACUCAAAAAGUGCUAUUUCAUAGCUUGUAAUUAACUCUUUUAAACACUUUUGAGUAGUAGUUAUCACCUUUUAACCCAAUUAACAUAUUAAGGACCUUUGCAAUCAUUUCUAAUCAAAUUGUGUAAGUUUUGGUGUUUUUGUUAGCUUUUUGAUCACCAAAGCAAUCCAAGAUUGAGGAGAGUUCUUUGGAAUCCAUGGAAAAGCAAAUGGAAAGCUCAGAAACAUGAAGAACCGAAGCUUUGAAGUCCUUUGCCAUAAGCAAAUCCGGAAUGACAUAGCAAGGCUUGUGCACUUUAGUCAAUGAUCCGGACAACAUAUCUGGAUAGGAUAUGCUAUCGUCCAGGUGUGAUGAUCGCGAGUGCUGUGUGCUUCUCCCUGAGGGAGUCCGGAUAGGGGAGCGCGCCACGUGUCCUCUUGGGGAAUCCAGAUGGAGUUGCUCCGGAUAGCGAUGCGCGCUCCGUGUCAUUAGGGGGAGGGGUCCCUACACCUUGCACACGCAGACGGUCCCCCUUGCGACGUUCCACCUUCUCCGGAUAUCUCACAUCCAGAAUUCUGUCCGACUAACGUUCCAUCUUCUUCGGAUAUCUCACAUCCAGAAUUCUGUCCGGCUGACGUUCCACCUUCUCCGGAUAUUUCACAUCCGGUGCCUGACGCCGGAUGGGAGAGGAGGGCAUUUCAACUUCCCUGGUCAGACAUAUCCGGAUCCUCUGAUAGCGCUUACCCGGAGAGUUUUGCAGCCAUCUUGCACAGUGCCGCGGUUUUCUCCUGAAGCUUCCCGAUAUUUGCAACCGACAUUAUGAGAUAUUUUGCUUUAGAUAUUUGAUGUCUAAAUCCCCAAACUAUCCUUGUAACCCACCUAUCAUAGGAUUCCUUAGUCUUUAAGUAAGAACCAAGGGUGAAUAACCUCUUAUAUAUAGUUGUAAUUUUCUUUACAAGAAGAAGAGCUCGGGAGCUUGUUCUCAGAGACAACUUUUUGUAUAGUUUGAAAGGAAGUAAAAUACAGAGCUUUGCUAUGCCUUACCUACUCAAUUUGAUUGUAUUUUUCAUUACUAGCCAAACAAGCUCUGAGGAUGUUUCCUCAUAGAAUGGGUGGCUAGGCUCUUCGUUUCAUGGAGCUAAGGUAGCCGGGUAAGGUCCCGAAUGCAAGAAUUGAGAGUUUUGUUGUUUCAGCUAUUAAUGAAGAGAAAGUGUAACCUGUUUAUGAUUUCUAUGUUUUUAGUUAACUUAAAACACCUUCAAUUCACCUGAGCCAACACUUGGUAAGGCAAGUGAUCUCCGUCCAUGGAGAUGCACUAGUUUACCUCUUGCGAGCUUUUGGGAGGUGACUUGAAGGUAGGAUUUUCUAGAAUUGCCAACACUUGGUAAGCUUUUGGACUCUAAGGAGGCAUCCAUUAGUUAUCUCUUGCGAGCUUAAGAAGGAAAAUCCAAGGUUAAUGAUCACCUUGAAUGGUAAAUGCUAGGUGAGAGGCACGAGCCAUUGCAAGAUGCAUCAGUGAGAGGGAAUUAGUGCUGAAAUCCAUAAAAGGGAAGUAUUUGUACAACACCGGUUGGAGAAUGAACUAUAUGUUAAUUCUCUAAUGCGAGGAAAAGAACCAAAGUGACCAGAACUCUGUUUUUGCAUGAAAAGCCUGACCCCAGUGAUCCUAAAACUCCAAGAGACGCUUUUUCUUUAUAAGUAAUUCCCAUUACUUUCUUUUUAGUUAGCUUGAAACCAAACCUUUUUCAACCAAAGUUUAUGUUUUCUUUUGAAGCUAACCUUGAAAUAAAAAGGAACCAAUUCAACUUUGAAUUGGUAUCAGUUGUAAGUUGAAAACCCUUCCCAGUGAACGAUCCUAGAGCCACUAUGCUAUACUAGCUUAUGCUAUCCUAGUGCAUGGUGAUAUAGGUUACAAAUUUUGUUGAUUACUUCCUCAAUCAAGGAGCACCAGCUGGACAUCAAUCAGCUGAGACACCAAUUGGGAACGAAUCAUUGAGCGAUCCGGAAGCUAAAUAUGUCCUGGUCGAACUCCAUGAAGGUGUGUGCGGCAAUCACCCAGGCGGACGAACUCUAUCCUAUUGCGCUUAUACGCAAGGGUACUAUUAGCCCACCAUGAAGCAAGAUGCUGAAAAUUAUGUUAAGAGGUGCAACCGGUGUCAAAGGUACACUCCCAUCCCUUGUGUGCCUUAUGAAGCUCUCAAUCUUGUCACAAGCCUAUGGUCGUUCCUACAAUGAGGGAUGGACAUAGUUGGCCCCUUACCCGUUGUAGUAGCACAAAAGAAAUUUUUGCUCAUAGCAAUCGACUAUUUUAGCAAAUGGCUAGAUGCAGAAGCCUACGCUAGUAUGAAGGACAAAGAUGUCUCCAAGUUCAUCUAGAAAAACAUCGUGUGCCGGUUUGAAGUCCUACAAGCGAUUGUGGCAAACAAUGGGUCGUAAUUUGACACUAUCAUUUUCAAAACGUUCUGCUUGAAGUUAAACAUUAAGAACCUAUAUUCAACGACCCGCCAUCCUUAGAGCAAUGGGCAAGUGGAGAUAACAAACAAGACCCUACUGAUUGCAAUAAAGAAAAUGCUGGAAUGAGCUAAGGGGAAAUAGGUAGACGAAUUGCCCAAAGUUUUGUGGGCUUAUCGAACAAUGUCUAGACGACCAAUAGAAGCUACCCCUUUCGCCCUUGCCUAUGGAAUGGAAGUCGUUAUUUUGACUAAGAUAGGCAUGCCUACCGCCAAAACGGUUGUGCAAGGUCAAAGAGACAACAAUAAGGAACUCAAAAAAUAGAUGGAUUGGGCAGAUGAAACACGAGGAAACGCGGCUAUCCGGAUGGCUUCCUAUCGCCAGAGAGCAAUUUCUUAUUACAACAAAAAGGCAUGGCCACAAGUUUCCGAACAGGAACCCUAGUUCUUAAAGAAGUCUUCGAGAACACAGCCGAAAGGGGGGGUCGAAAAGCUUUAGGCUAAUUAGGAAGGGCCUUACGUUGUGACUAAGGUUGGAAGCUCAGGGGCAUACCAUCUCCACAUACUGGACGGCGUACCCCUACUCCAUCCUUGGAUGUAUCCAAUCUAAAGCAAUACUAUCAAUGAAGUUUACCCAUGAACACAGUAUGAGAAAAGUAAAUAAAAAAGAUAAAGAUAUAUAUAUAUAUAUAUAUAUAUAUAGAUAAUAAAUGUUCAAUGUCUAUAAAAAUUUCCGCCUAGGCUAUCUUUGGCUAGGAAAAACUUAAAAAAAAUAACAAGGUCAAGCAUGUCCGCUAGAGCGUCUGGCUCUAGAAGCAUCUCCUUCUCCCCAAGCAAGGUCGCCUAUAGCUCCGUCCUCAUCAUCAGAAGGAAAACUAGGAGUAUCUUAGGUAAUGCCAUGUUUCUUCAUACAACAUCGAUAGCCAUAGAAGAACAUGUCAUCCACUUGUUUCUGAUACUCAACUUCUAACUCUUCCUUCUGAACGACGAACCCCGCCCAGAGCUCCUGCAGCUCUUGUCUCAGCCACUCAGUCUCCUCCUUGGCCUUCUUCUUGCUAGCCUCCAUCACCUCCCUCUCCUUAGGCACCCGAUGAGCCUCAGCUUCAGCUUCAUCCUUUCCCUCUUCUGCUUUCCUCAACAGCUCAACCCUUUCAUUAGUAAGUUUCCGAGUAGCUAUAAAAAUAGCAAUCAACCAAGCAGCUAUAAAAACAUCACUUAUUAGUUAUUCAAGAUAUUUUACGAUGGAUGGAGAAUCAAAACCCACAUAAAUUUCAAGUUUUUAUUGGGGACUAUUUUAGUGAAUUAUGUAGGUACAAUUUGUAUAUGUGCUACACAAUCAAAGAUUCAUAAGUGAGAGACAUUCAAUUGUUUUAUAAGUACAAGUUAUGAAGGGGAUUAUUCAUGGUAAGCUACAACAUGCUUAACAAGUCCCUAAAAAGAAGUAGGUAAUCCAAUUUUCAUUAGUAAGAGUCAAGCAAUUAAUUAUAUGCUUUUGAUAAGAGAUUCUUCAUAUCAUUAUGGGUAUGAGUAGCGAGAUGCUCAAUAUCAAUCCUAACCGACAUGCAAUAAUCAAUGAAUGUUUGAGAAGUAAAUUUUCCAACAUUAUUAAGUUGUAUUGUCUUGAUUGAAUAAUCUCGAAAUUGUGCUUGUAGUUUGAUUGUUUAUGCCAAGAGCCUAGCUAAAGCAAUAUCAUGUGUAGAAAGGAGACAGACUUGUGACUACCUACUAGAGGUAUCUAUUAAGAUCAUACAGUAACAGAAUGAUUCAUAUGGUGGAUGGAUAGUCCUACAUAUGUCCUUAUGUGUUCUUUUUAAGAAGACUAACAACUUAAAUAUGAUUUUAGUUCAAGAUGGUUUAACUAUCAAUUUUCCUUGUGAGUAAGUAGCUUAUGAAUAUUCAUCAGGUAAAAGAAUUUCUUAGUUCUUUAAUAGAUGCCCUUUUAUGUGCUCUACCAUUCAAUGCAUCAUUUAAGUCCUCGAGUGGCCUAACUGUUUAUGCUAAAGCAUAAAAUUUUUAGAUUGUAGAAUUCUUGUUCAUGACAACAUAUGACUCAAUAGACUUUAUGGUUACAUAAUACAACCCAAAGAAGAAAGCUAUGAGCUUUUCCACUAUAAGCUUUUGGCUAGAAAUAAUAGAAGUAAUCUAAAUAUAUUCUACAUUACCUACAUUCAUAGUUUUAAGAUGAUAUACAUUUCUAUGAAUAUCUUUUAAGACUAAGAAUUUUAUUUUAUUUUAUACUUUUUCUAGAAUAUAAAACAACAUUUAUAUGAAAUAUAGUUCCUUUUGAUAGCAUAAUAUUUGCUCUUUUGAAGUCUCGAAUCAAGUUUAUAAUAUUUGAAAUAGUACUAACAUUAGCCUUUACUAACGUCAAAUUGAAAAAUACCUUUUAUCUCAAAGGAUUGUAUAAUGAUUAUUAAUUAUUACACAAUCUUUGAGACAUACAUCUUCCUUGUUUAUCAUGAAAACAACAUAUGCAUUCUCAUAUAUGAAUAAAAUUUGAAUAAAAGAUAUAUGAUAAAUAAAAAUAAUAAAUAUAAUGACAACAUACUAUGUAUCAUCAAUUAAUAAGAAUAUUUUUAUCAUUCGUUAGAAGAUCAAUUUUUAACUAGAAAAUUUAAAGAAAUUAAGAUAUAUCAAAGUCAAUAAAAUCUAAUCCAUCACACUAUAAGAAAAAAGAUAUUUGUUUACGACAUCAAUGUUGACACAAAGAAAAUUGAGUCAACAUAGGAAAUUUUAGGACAAUGUUGAUAGUAAAGGAGAGCUAUAGUGAUAGUAUUUUAAAAUAGCAUCAACAUAACACAAAAUAUAUUUUUUUACUCUCAAUAUUGUGUCUCUCUCUUAUCGAGUGAACUAUCUUUUUCAGGUUAGUUUUUCUUCAAUCUCAAUCUCAAACCCUAUAUUGCAUUUCCCUGUCUUUUCUCUCACAAUCUUUUUGUACUAUAACCUAGUUGACAAAUCCUAAGUCAAUUGAAUGUUGAAGAAGAACAACAAUUUUUUAAAGAAACAUACCAAAUUAUUCUCAACUCCAAUUAUUAUUAUUAUUAUUAUUAUCUUAAGAUAUUUUGUGUAUUUACCUAUUCUCUCCUUGUAAUCAAUUAAAGAUCCUUUUAGAUAUUUAGGAUAUCUAAUUGAGGGGUUAAAAAUAUCUCUCUAUAUAUGUCUUAAGAUAUUCGUUAAUUUAUAACACUUACAUAAAAUAUUCGUUAAACUCCCUGUGUCUAUAAGAAUUCGAUGUACCUCAUAUGACCUGAGCUGUAAUGUGACCAUAAGAGGGUCAUCAUGAGGUAAGAAUACAUGACUUGGAUCCUUUACUAUGAACUCAAUAGUUGGUGCAUUCACCUUCACACAACCUAUCAUCUGAGCAUGCACCUUAGGUUGGGUGAGUUCUCGAUGCUUCAUUAGGCGCUGUAAACUUCAAUUAUUUAGUCAACGUUGAGUUUAGUUGGCCAAAUAGUCAUUGACAACUUGUAUGACUGGUGAUGGGUUAACUUUCAGCUUUAUCGUGUCUGCAAAAUCAUUGUGCUUGACCUCUAAGUUCAGAUUAGGCUAUGUAGAGUUUUUCUUCACAUAUUGGUGUAGUUUUCCUUUUUGCACUUGAUUUUUGAGAUAUCUUCUCAAUGCCUUACUGAUUACUACUCAAAAAGUGCUCUUUUAUAGCUUCUUAUAAACUUUUUUAAACACUUUUGAGUAGUAUUUAUUACCUUUUAACUCAAUUGGCACAUUAAGGACCCUUGCAAUUUUCACUAAUCAGUUUUUGGCAAGUUUUGGUGUUUUUGAUAGCUUUUUUAUCAUUAAAACAAGCCAAGAAUGAGGGAGAACUUUGUGUAGUCCAUGACAAAGCAAGUUGAAGCUAAAUUACAUGAAGAAUCCAAGUUUUGGAGAGCUUCGAAGCCUUUGCCAAAUCAAUCAAGUAUGCAAGGAAGAGAAUUAGAGAAGGAAUCUAACAUUCAACAAUUUCGCAACCCCUUUGCGAAAAUUUCGCAAACUUGCAAAAUGCCCAAGAGGAGUACAAGGUGCAGGAUAGAGCGCGAGGCUGUGAAGAAGGAAUUUCGCAAUCCCUUGCUAAAUUUUCGCAAGCCUUGAGAAAUCUUCCUAUAAUCUUCAGAUAUUUUUGCACCAACUCCGUUAGAUUUUUAUCUUAAGAUAUUUUGUGUAAUUACCUAUUCUCUCCUUGUAAUCAGUUAAAGAUGUUUUUAGAUAUUUAGGAUAUCUAAUUGAGGGGUUAAAAAUAUCUCUCUAUAUAUGUCUUAAGAUAUCUCUUUUUGUAAUAUCUCGGAAUCUCGAAAGAAAUUCUUGGGAUCACUUGUAAUCUCUAGGAAGAAAUUCCAGAGAAGACUUGUACAUUCUUUUUAGUAAGAAAUAUACAAAGCCUUGCUCUGCCUUACCUACUCAUUUUGAUUUUAUUUUCUUUCUAGCCAAACAACCUUUGAGGUUGUUUUCUCAGAGGAUGAGUGGCUAGGCUUUUUGUUUCUUGGACUGAAGAAAGCUAGGUAAGGGAUCCGGAUACAAAAGUGGGAGUUUUCCUUGUUUCAGUUUUAAAUGAAGAGAAGUUGUGAUCCGUUAAUGGUUUUUAUUUUUUUAGUUAACUUAAAAUCCCUUAAAAUACCUGGGCCAACACUUGGUAAGCUUUUCGGACUCCAUCCAUUGAGAUCCAUUAGUUAUCUCUUGCGAGCCUCUAGGAAGUGGUUUAAAGGUAGGAUUACCUAGAAUAGCCAACACUUGGUAAGCUUUUCGAACUCCCUGGAGACAUCCAUUAGUUAUCUCUUGCGAGCUUUUGACGGGUAAUCCAAGGUUAAGGAUCACCUUGAAUGGCCAAUACUAAGUGAGAGGUAUGAACCAUUGCAAGAUGCAUCAGUGAGAGGGAUUUAAUGUUUGAACCCAUUAAAGGGAAGCAUCUGUACCACACCGGUUCGGGAAAUAACUAUAUGUUAAAUCCCCAAUGCGAGGAAAAGAUUCAAGUGACCGAAACUCCCUUUUUGUACAAGGAACCUGAGCCCAGUGAUCCAACAACUCCAAGAAACACUUUUCUUAGUAAGUAAUUUCCGUUACUUUAUUUUUGGUUUCACUUAAAAACCAACCUUUUCAGACAUCUUUAUGUUUUCUUUUAAAGCUAACCUUGAAAUGAAAAAACACCAAUUCAACUUUGAAUUAAUAUCAAUUAUGAAGUGAAAACCCAUCCCAAUGAACGAUCCUGGAACCACUAUGCUAUGCUAGCUAAGGCUAUCCUAGUACAUGGUGAAAUAGGUUAUAAAUUUUGUUGAUUACUCCCGUUUGAGGACCGAAAUCAAGGUACACUAGUUGAUUGAGCACCAAUCAAUAGGACGUACACCAGUUGGGCACUGAAAUCAAAUGGUUCCAUUGUCGGGGAACCAUUGAGAGGACAAGAAUCAACUGGUACACCAAUUGGGAACGAAUCACUAUUGCAUGGCGUUUAGGAGUAGGACUCCCUAAGAAUCGAAGAUCUUCCCUCAAUACUUUAGCUUGGUUUACUCUGAAUGUCCACUCCUGUUGCACCAUAUGCACAUGCAAUAAUAUCACUAUAAAGAUCACACGAUGUCAUUGGGUAAUAAAACUCAUCCUCUAAUGCCCAAUAUUGACAAGUGAUUUCAUAGAUUUGUUGCGGGCUGUAAAAUUUUCCGAAACAACUCAUUGAGUAAAGGUAGUUAUUCGCCAUCUCUGUGGAUUUGUUCGACUCUUCUCGUAAUGGUAGGCUAAAAAGAACAACUUUAUACCCUAAUAUACUUAUUGCUACUGGAUGACGUAACAAUGAUGUCUCAUAUGAAACAAUAGAUUUAACUAUGUACCAAUCCCUAACAUGACUAGCCACAUUAUCAUAUGUAUAGCACCCGAUGCCUUUGUACUUGCACCUACAAUGUUACUCAAGCAAAUGAAAAAGAAUCAAUAUUAUGAUAUGACAACUAGGCAACAACAUCAACAUUAAUGCAACACUGUUUCAUUUCGGCCAUGCUAGAUGUGUUUAAAACACAACGUUGUAAACAAAGUGUCUCCCAUAUAGGAAAAAUGAGUGAUCCCAUUAUAGAGAGGUUACAUUCCCACAAGCGAUACAAUCGUCAUUGGGUAAUAGGGAAACCAUAUAGCUAUGGAGGUCUAUGGUAUAAGGAUCAAAGAACAUAUUAUGGAAAGUUAGAACGUGAAUGGUCUAAUCAUGUUGAUCAGUCGAAUGCAUUCAUAAAGGAUCUUCGCACGUUAAAUUGCCUAAGAGUGCAAAGGCAUUCAUUAACAAUGGCUCAUCGUAACAUAGUGGAAUAUGCGAUAGCUAUUUUACAAAUAAGAGAAGAUAACAAUCAUAUGCUAAUUCAAAAGGCAAGAUAUUACAUCCUCAAUGUUUCCACAACAAACAUAGAGGAUAACAAUAGAAUUCUAUCUGAGAUAGAAAUCAACUAUCACCAUAUGAUGCUAGGAUAUAGAUAUGAUUUUCAUAUGUCAAACAAUGAGCCCGAGUAAUGGAUGGAAAUAAUUAUGUCAUAAAUUUUGUUACGAUGAUUUUUGGCAAUGUAAAAUAGGUGGAUUUUUACAGUAGUUAUGGCAAAAUAAAUUGUUACUUCCCACGCAAUCAAAGCGUCUUGUCAAAUUUCCUACAAAUUUCGAUUGUGGUGGUCAUACUUAUCAUUUUAAUUAAGGAAUAUUUUUAAAUAGCGUCUAUGCAUGUUUGUGUUACUAAUUCGUCCUUUAUAAAAUGUGGUAUACCAAAUCCUAAUGCUAGCGGGACCCCCAUCUUAUGACCUAUGGUCCAAUGUGGUUCAUUGAGGAACCCAUAAGGAAGUGAUUGGGGGCUCAUCUCCACCUUGGAAAGCACUUUGGAACCCCUUGGUACAUCCUUCACAAAAUUUGGUACAUUCGAUCCUAUUGCUUUUGGGACCCUCAUUUGAACAUGGAUGGUCCAUAAUUUCAUUUAGGAACCCUUAAGGAAGUGAUCGGGGCUUGACCCCCACCUAGGAAAACACUUUGGAACCCUUGGUACAUCCUUCACAAAAUUUGGUACAUCUUUUAUAAAAUUUGGUACAUCCCAUCUUAUAAGCUAAGGGCCAUAAUUUCAUUUGGGAACCCAUAAGGAAGUGAUUGGUGGUUGAUCCCCACCACGAAACACGCUUUGGAAAAUUUGGUACCUCCAAUCCUAUUGCUUCUAAGACCCCCAUCUUAUCACCUAGGGUCCAUAAUUUCAUUUGGGAACCCAUAAGGAAGUGAUUCGUGGCCGAUUACCACCUUGAAAUGCACUUUGGAACUCUUGGUACAUCAUUCACAAAAUCUAAUACAUGUUUCACAAAAUUUGGUACAUCCGAUCCUAUUGCUUCUGGAACCCUCAUCUAAACACGGAUGAUCCAUAAUUUCAUUUAGAAACCCUUAAGGAAGUGAUUGGGGCCCGAUUCCCACCUCCGAACACACUUUGGAACCCUUGGUACAUCCUUCACAAAAUUUGGUACAUCCUUUAUAAAAUUUGAUACAUCCCAUCCACCUGCUUCCGAAACCCCCAUCGUAUCACCUAGAGUUCAUAAUUUCAUUUGGGAACCCAUAAGGAAGUGAUUGGGGGUCGAUCCCCACGUCAGAAUGCACUUUGGAACCCUUGGUACAUCCUACACAAAAUUUGGUACAUCCCAUCCUAUUGCUUUUGGAACCCCCAUCGUAUCACUUAGGUCCAUAAUUUCAUUUGGGAACCCAUAAAAAAGUUAUUAAGGGUCGAUCCCCACCUCAAAACGUACUUUGGAACCCUUGGUACAUCUUUCAGAAAAUGUUAUGCAUGCUUCAACAAAUUUAGUACAUCUGAUCCUAUUACUUUCGGGACCCCCAUCUGAACAUGGAUGGUCCAUAAUUUCAUUUAGGAACCCUUCAGGAAGUAAUUAGGGGUCGAUUCCCACCUCUAAACGCACUUUGGAACCCUUGGUACAUCAUUCACAAAAUUUUGUACAUUCUUUAUAAAAUUUGGUACAUCCAAUCCUAUUGCUUAUGGAAACCCCAUCGUAUCACUUAGGGUCCAUAAUUUCAUUUGGGAACUCAUAAGGAAGUGAUUGGGGGUUGAUCCCCAUCUCGAAAUGUACUUUGGAACCCUUGGCACAUCAUUCUCAAAAUUUGGUACAUGUUUCAUAAAAUUUGGUAUGUUCAAUCCUACUGUUUCCGAGACCCCCAUCUGGAAAUGGAUGGUCCAUAAUUUUAUUUAGGAACCCUUAGGAAAGUGACUGGGGGCCAAUUCCCACCUCCAAAUGCACGUCGAAACCCUUGGUACAUCCUUCACAAAAUUUGGUACAUCCUUUAUAAAUUUUGGUACAUCCCAUCCUAUUACUUCUAGAGCCCCCAUUGUAUUAGGUAGGGUCCAUAAUUUCAUUUGGGAGCCCAUAAGGAAGUAAUUGGGGGUUGAUCCCCAUCUCAGGAUGCACUUUGGAACCCUUGGUACAUCAUUCACAAAAUCUAGUACAUGUUUCACAAAAUUUGGUAUAUUCAAACCUAUUGCUUUUGGGAUGCCCAUUUAAAAUUGGAUGGUCCAUAAUUUCAUUUAGGAAUCCUUAAGGAAGUGAUUGGGAGUCAAUUCCCACCUCCAAACGCACUUUUGAACCCUUGGUACAUCCUUCACAAAAUUUGGUACAUCCUAUCCUAUUGCUUUUGGAACCCCCAUAGUACUACCUAGGGUCUAUUAUUUCAUUUGGGAAUCCAUAAGGAAGUGAUUGGGGGUCGAUCCCCACCUUAGAACGCACUUUGGAACCCUUGGUACACCCUUCACAAUAUUUUUUACAUCCAAUCCCAUUGCUUCCGAGACCCCCAUCUGAACAUAGAUAGUCCAUAAUUUCAUUUAGGAACCCUUAAGGAAGUAAUCGGGGGUCGAUCCCCACUUGGCAAUGCAUUUGGAACCCUUGGUACAUCCUUCACAAAAUACGGUAUAUCCUUCACAAAAUUUGGUACAUCCUUUGUAAAAUUUGGUACAUCCCAUCCUAUUGUUUCCGGGAUCCCCAUCUUAUCCCCUAGGGUCCAUAAUUUUACUUGGGAACCCAUGGUAUAUCUUUCACAAAAUUUGGUAUAUCCUUUAUAAAAUUUGGUACAUUUCAUCCUUUUGUUUAUGAGAUCCCCAUUUUAUCAGCUAGGGUCCAUAAUUUUAGUUGGGAACCCAUAAGGAAGUGAUUGUUGGUUGAUCCCCACCUCGCAACACGCUUUGGAAAAUUUGGUACAUCUUUCACAAAAUUUUGUAUAUCUAAUCCUAUUGUUGUCAAGACCCUCAUCUUAUCACUUAGGGUCCAGAAUUUCAUUUGGGAACCCAUAAGGAAGUGAUUAAGGCUCUAUCCCCACCUUGGAAUGCACUUUGGAACCCUUGGUUCAUCCUUCACAAAAUUUGGUAGAUCCUUCACAAAAUUUGGUACAUCCUUUAUAAAAUUUGGUACCUCCAAUCCUAUUGCUUUUGGGACCCCUAGCUUAUCACCUAAGGUCCAUAAUUUCAUUUAGGAACCAUAAGGAAGGGAUUCAUGGUCAAUCCCCACCUCAGAACACACUUUAGAACCCUUGGUACAUCUUUCACAAAAUUUGGUACAUCCUUUAUAAAAUUUGGUCCAUCUUAUUGCUUCUGGAACCCCAAUCAUAUCACUUAGGGUCCAUAAUUUCAUUUGGGAACCUAUAAGGAAGUGAUUGGGGGUCGAUCCCUACCUUGGAAUGCACUUUGGAACCCUUGGUACAUUCUUCAUAAAAUCUGGUACAUGCUUCACAAAAAUUUGGUACAUCGGAUCUUAUUGCUUCCAAGACCCCCAUCUGAACAUGGAUGGUCCAUAAUUUCAUUUAGGAACCCUUAAGGAAGUGAUUGGGGGCCGAUUCCCACCUCCGAAUGUACUUUGGAACCCUUGGUACAUCUUUCACAAAAUUUUGUACAUUCUUCACAAAAUUUGGUACAUCCUUUAUAAAAUUUGGUAUAUCCCAUCCUAUUGCUUUUGGAACCCCCAUUGUAUCACCUAGGGUUCAUAAUUUCAUUUGGGAACCCAUAAGGAAGUGAUUGGGGGUCAAUCCCCACCUUAGAACACACUUUGGAACCCUUGGUACAUCUUUCACAAAAUCUAGUACAUGCUUCACAAAAUUUUGUACAUUUGAUCCUAUUGCUUUCAAGACCCCCAUCUGAACAUGGAUGGUCCAUAAUUUCAUUUAGGGACCCUUAAGAAAGUGAUUGGGGUUUGAUUCUCAUCUCUAAAUUCACUUUGGAACCCUUGGUACAUCCUUCACAAAAUUUGGUACAUCCUUUAUAAAAUUUAGUACAUCUCAUCCUAUUGUUUUCAUGACCCCCAUCUUAUCACCUAGGGUCCAUAAUUUCAUUUGGGAACCUAUAAGGAAGUGAUUGGGGGGCGAUCCCCAUAUCUAAAUGCACGUUGGAACGCUUGGUACAUCCUUCACAAAAUUUGGUACAUUUUUCAUAAAAUUUGGUACAUCUGAUCCUAUUGUUGUCGAGACCCCUUAUAAAAUUUGGUACAUCUAAUCCUAUUACCACAAAGACAACCAUAUUAUCACCUAUGGUCCAUUAUUUCAUUUAGGGAUCUAUGUUAAUUGAUUAAAGGUCAUUCGCUACUCCUGAAUGGACUUUUAAACCCUUGGUACAUCCUUUACAAAUUUUGCUACAUCAUUUACAACUUUUGGUACAUCUUUUAUAAAAUUUGGUACAUUUGUAAGAAAAUUUGGUAUUUCAAAGCCUCAUGCUAUCGAGAACCCAUAAGAAAUGAUGGGAAGUUGUUCACCACCAUCUAACGGAGUUUCAAACCCUAGUAACAUUGUCCAUGGUGUUCUGUAUAUCUUUAAGAUCAAUAUGUUCCUUAUUAACUUUAAUAAAGUAUUGUACAUUUUUUUAACAUCAAUUCGAGACUUCAUGCCCUCUUACUUUAAUACAUCUAUAUAUAUAUGUGUGUGUGUGUGUGUGUGUGUGUGUGUUCAUUAAUAUGUGCAAUAAUAUGUAUAUUCCUUACAAAAAGACUUACAUCAUUUAUAAAAUGAGCAUAAAUUAUAUUAAUCCCCUCUUUGGACCCUAUUAGGUAUUUAAUUGCUUACAGCAAUGUUUGUAACUAACCUUGCCAAAAUUAAUUAACUAUAACAAUUGUCACAUUCACACCUAUUGUCAUUAUUAUUAAUGUCUCAUUUAGAUUACAAACAAUACAACUCAACUUCAUUAACACUAGAUGGUAUGACAUUAAUGUGCUAAACAUUAGAACGUAUGGUCUCUACCAAACAUCUGAUAAUGCAUAACUUUUCUUCAUUUAUUCCUUUGGUGCUCGCUUAUUUCAUAUGAAUGUUAAGUGUCAAUCUUUCAAGCUUUAGGCAUGCCUCCAUUUGCCUUACUGCCUAACCCAUACCUCAAAUCUAGUCAUCUUGAAGGCAUGCCUCAAACAAAAAAGUCAUGCUUAUCUUUUUCCUAUUGCACAUAGAUUAACAAAAUUAAGUUUUUCACCCACAUUCAUGUGUCUUCCCUGAAGGUUAUGCCCUUAGGUUGACUACUGCACAUAGCCUACUAAUAUAAUGGUUUCACCAAUAGGCAUGCCUCUAAAAUCAAGAGUGUGCCCUUAGUUUGCGUACUGCAUAUAGCAUACCAAAAUAAUGUUAACAUACCCAUGCCCAUGCCACCCCUAGAUUGACUUCUACACAUAACAUACCAAACUAAUGUUAUUGUAUAAAAGAAAUUCCAUUGAUUAUAAGGGUACAAUGUAAACAUUCGAAUGCCUUCCCAUGGUGUCAAUGGGUCAACCUCCCUUUUACCGACUCUUCACAUAACACAAAGCUAAUUUUAAAAAAGAAAAAUCAUAGGACUACCUAUGACCUAACAGACCUACCCUUAUUUUGGCUACUGCUCAUUUUACAUAAAACCAAAUAAUAUGAUUAAGGGUCAUUAGCCAAAAAGCGGCAGCCCUUACAUGUAAAGGUCGGCCACGAUUAUGCCCAUUGGUUAACAAUUUGUUUUUUUGCCAAAGACACCAUGUGAAUCUAUGUGACUUGAAUGGCAUCUUCGAACAAUCAUCACCAAGGUACACAUUUGUUAUUACAAUUACAUUAUCAUGUAAAAUAUCUCAUAAUAUUGAAGAACAACAUACAAUCACAAAAUGUGUACACCAAACACUACAAAUUCAAUAAAUUAGUCAUUGCUUAUAAUCAGGGAAACAACAAUGAAGAUUACCAAACUAUUACACACUAAUAUAAAGUCGAUGUUACUUUAUGAAGUUUAAUCAAAUAGUUACGACAAUGGGUUAUUACAUGUCACAUGAUUAUGCUAAGACUCAUUACAAUGAGAACAAUGAACUGUUUUUUUUUUUUACAUGAAUUGAGACUUGGUUCGACGUUUCCUAGGUUUUCCAAGAGGUCACUUUAUGGUUGAAGGAUUAAGAUAGGGAUAAGUAUGACCCAAGGCAUCACGAACGGUUCCAUCUUCAUCAAUCAUUGGCAUGUCAUGUGUUACCAAAGUACGCAUGUUUUCAGAGUAUAUCUUCUCUUGCAAAUUGUACUUAUACCAAUCAUCAACAAAAUCAAAUACAUUGAACCCCAUUCGCCGUAUAGUUGCACGAGUGUGAUCAUAUGGGAUUCCAAACAUUUGCCAUGUUUUGCAUGUGCAAGGUCACUCUAUUAUGUCCACUUCCAAGAAUGCUUUUCCAUUGGAUGCUUUCAUCGAACUACCCAAGUUUAAAUAAGUGAUAUCAUUUUCACAUUUUGUAACCUUCAAUGCAAUCUUUUAUUUUAUUUUAAGACCAAUGCACCCAUUCCAUUUUACAAGUCCAUUUUUGUGCUCGACUAAAAGAUAUCCUAACUUAUCCAUAUGCUCAAUGAAGAAAACACAAAUGUUAUGGUGUCGUUCAUGUCUUAACCAAGAAUUGAAAGACUCAGUGAGAUUACUUGUCAUCUUAUCCCAACACAUCUUCUUAAAUUUAGAGAUUGCCCAAUGUUGAGGGUUAUUUUCUUCAAAUCAUGAUUAAAUGUCCUUAAAGUAUCCAUUGUAACCUCAUAAUCACAAUCUAACCUAGCAUAGGCAAUAGAAUUGAGCAUUUGCAAAGCAUUUUCCUUCUCUUUCCUCCCUUUAAUGUUCAGCUUUGUUAAAAAGCUACUGAAGUUUUCUUUAAUGUGACGAUAGCAAUGUGCAUGGUUUUCACUGCCAAAUAUCUCUAAAACACUAUGGAUAAUCCCUUGGUGCCUAUAAGAUAUUAUUAUAGCCUCUCUUUUACCUAUGACCAUCUUCAAUUUCUCUAAGAACCAAAGCUAAUCCUUGUAAUUCUCAGAGCUAAAUAAGCUAUAAGCAAGUGGAAACAUGCCAUUGUCAGCAUCAUACGAAGAAGCUGAAAAUAAAGCACCCUUGUAUGGCCCACUCAUGUGGGAUGAAUCUAUUAAUAUAAUAGGCCGACACCCCCUUUUAAACCCAUGUAUUGACACUGAAAGGGCAACAAACAAUUGUAUGAAGUGACUAUCAUCCGAACAUCUAUAUUUAACAAUCAACCCUAGAUUUGUUUCAAUAAUCCUUGGACACAACCAAGGUAACAACUUAUAUGAACAUUAGGGCACACCGUGAAUUCGUUCUUUAGCCUUCUCUUUCAAGUUCCAUGCUUGAUAAUAAUUCAAUUGCAUUUCGUAUUGUUGAUGAAAGUCUUUACAUAUUUGACAGGGCAAGUAAUCUGGAUUUGAAAGAAUAACAUCAUCAAUCAUAGUUGUGGCUUGAUUACAACGAACUGCUGGUUUGAAAUUUGACACAUCUUCUAAAGAGUGGCUAUGUUCAUUUCUAAAUAUAUGCACCUGAACUAUUUUUGUUCUACUAAUAGCACGAGCAAUUACUUUCCAAGGGCAUCCUUCAACAACACAUAUUACAACCCUAUGCUUAAGACAAUUCCUCUUGAACUUAUAUCUAAAACGGCAUCCUAAUGACAUGAGAUAUAUUACACCCUAAAAGUCAUUUUCAGUUGAGAAAGGAUGCCCACUACCUAAUAUUGUGCUCUCAAAAUGACUUGACUCUAGUGGACCGACAUGUGAUUCAACACAUCUUUGAUGAAAUCCUCGUGAUUGCAUUCUAAUAUCAAUAUCCCUUAUUGAAUAUGGGACCAAUGAGUUAGACUCUACCAUUGUUUCGUUCAAUCUACAUUAUAAAUAUGUUUAUUUAUCAACUUAUCAUCUAAUGAAUAAACAUAAAUAUUCAAAAAUAAAUAAAUACAUGGAAUCAUUUAAGAUUAGAUAUUCUUUUCAUAUAACUUACCCUUGUCCUCCAUUCUCAACUGUUUCAUCAUCUUCAACUAUUGAUGAUAAACAUAUAUAUUCACAUGUUAAUUAGUCACUAAAUUGAAACAUGUUUAUCAAGUCUUCAUCACUUUUCAAAGUGCAUAUAGAUCAAACGGGAGAGUAUAAAAAAAUGUUGGUCCCACUAUAUCAAUGCUCAUUUUCCUAUAAAUCCUUGAAACAAAAUCAUUAUAUGUCAGUGAUUGUUCUAAACUUAUGUUCUCUUAUCUCCCACCCAUAUAUUCUACACUGCCAUGUUCACCCCUUACUAGUUCCUCUCCAAUAUCCAGAUAACAAUAAAUUGUAUUACUUUGAUCCAUUUAAAUGGUACUCGAUCAUGUGUAGCCCAUGUUUAAAAACAUGAACCUUUAGUCAAGUUGAAACCAUUAACUAAUUUCUUAAUAACAUUGCCUAAACCAAAUUACUUAUAUCAAAACUGAUUAUCAUGCCUAUGACCAUCAUAUAUUAAUUCAUCAUUUAUCUUUGGAACUUUACAAGCAAGCUUCAUUUACAUUUCAUGGUCUACAAUUAAUGUUGUAAAUAUAGACAUGCAUAGUGUAUACUUAACAUUAACCAAUGCGAUUAUUCUAUUUUAUUUGGUAGUAAUUUGCUAUGUUAUAUAAGUUGGGGAGUGAACAUCUCAAUUCAUGAGCCAACCAUUGUUUUUGUAACUCUUCAAACCAAAUUGUGUUAAUGUCCCUGUCUUUAGGCCAGCCCCUGAAACAAUGGGUCUUCCUUUAUUUUGCCUACUGCCUAGAUCAGAUCACAACAAUGUUAACAACUAAGGGCUUGUCUCCAAACAAAUGGGUUAGCCUAUAAUUCACUUACUGCAACCUCUUAUGAAAACAAUUAUUUCAUCCAAAUGUCAUUACCUGAAUUACGGUCAGCCCUUUCAUUCAAGGGUAGACCCAUACUAUGACUACUACACACAUAAACAAAACAAAUUUCAUAUUUGUGGCUGUGAGCAUCAGAUUUGCACCUAAGGCUCCACUACUAUUUUCCUUAAUUCCCACAUAAAUUCAUGUAUGCUUUACUAUAUUUUUUUUAUUUUCUUUUUCAAUUCAACCCCCAUUCAUUACAAAUUCAAAAAUUUUAUGAAUAAAUUUAUUCAAACUUUACUCCCAAUCAUUUUUAAAAUUUAUACUUAUCUACUCAUGACUAAACAUGAAUUCUUUUCCCAUGCAUUAAAUUCACCAAUUAACAACUAUGAAAAAUCACUCAACCUACUCAUUUUGGAAUCCUAUACAAACAACAUUAAAUAAUAAAACAUCUUGAAUCCUAUAUGAUAACCCGACUCUUGAUAGCUUGGCAUGUAAGGGUAUCAACAAAAUUUAUACCUAAGGUCCUUACACUAAAGUAGCAAAGCUACUGUAGCAUAGUGGCUCUAGGAUCGAACACUGGGAAGGGUUUUUACUUUAACUGGUGAAGUUCGGAGGAUGGAGUGAACUUUUCUUAAUAAAAAUUAGGUUAAGAUGAAAACAUAAAAAGAUGAAGGUGUUGUAAAAUAAACUAACAUGAAAAUAGGUUAAAAGAUGGAAAAAGAAGUUUCUCAAAGCUUUGGAUAGCCAUGCUUAACUCACUGUGUAAAAAUGGAGAUUUUGGGACUUUUCACCUCGAGUUGGGGAAGCAACUAAGGUGAUGUUUACUUCCCGAACCGGUAUGAGUUUAACAACUGAGUUUUAGUCCUUGAAAACUUACAAAAAGGGUAGCUGAACCUCAUAAAUGCUCUUUUAUUNNNNNNNNNNNNNNNNNNNNNNNNNNNNNNNNNNNNNNNNNNNNNNNNNNNNNNNNNNNNNNNNNNNNNNNNNNNNNNNNNNNNNNNNNNNNNNNNNNNNNNNNNNNNNNNNNNNNNNNNNNNNNNNNNNNNNNNNNNNNNNNNNNNNNNNNNNNNNNNNNNNNNNNNNNNNNNNNNNNNNNNNNNNNNNNNNNNNNNNNNNNNNNNNNNNNNNNNNNNNNNNNNNNNNNNNNNNNNNNNNNNNNNNNNNNNNNNNNNNNNNNNNNNNNNNNNNNNNNNNNNNNNNNNNNNNNNNNNNNNNNNNNNNNNNNNNNNNNNNNNNNNNNNNNNNNNNNNNNNNNNNNNNNNNNNNNNNNNNNNNNNNNNNNNNNNNNNNNNNNNNNNNNNNNNNNNNNNNNNNNNNNNNNNNNNNNNNNNNNNNNNNNNNNNNNNNNNNNNNNNNNNNNNNNNNNNNNNNNNNNNNNNNNCAAAGAGGGCUUCAAUAGAUUAUCAACUUUGAAAGCAUAAAACAAACUCUAAGACUUAAGUAAUUAAGUUAAAACUCGACUUAUCCUAUUUUAUUUUGAGAAAUUAUCUUUAACAACCAUAGAGAAUGAAACAAAAAAUUUUGAAAAAGGGCAAAAACUACUAAAUCAACAAAAUAACUAACUAAAAUAGGAAAUACUUACUUCCUCAACUCUCCCCCCAACCGAGAUGAACAUUGUCCCCAAUGUUUCUAUCGAAAAAGACGAGGAAGGAAUGAUAUACCUUAUGGUGAUGUGGUAUUCAAGGCGUGUGAGUGCAUCCACAUGAUUCAAAAACCAUAAGAAACGUGAGAGAGGAAAUAAGAUACAAAAAAUGAUGCUUAUAUAAACUGAGAGAGUUGAGUACAAGAUAUAAGC
rnacentral:lncRNA from 1 species